rnacentral:rRNA from 1 species
ACUCAAAUGAAUAGACGGGGGAGCACCGCAACGGGAGGAGCGUGCGGUUCAAUUGGAUUCAACGCCGAAAAACUCACCAGGAGCGACGGAUAUAUGAAGGUCAAGCUGAUGACUUUACCUGAUUUUCCGAGAGGUGGUGCAUGGCCGUCGUCAGUUCGUACCGUAAGGCGUUCUCUUAAGUGAGAUAACGAACGAGACCCUCACCAUUAAUUGCUAGUCCUUUCUCCGGAGGGGGCGCACAUUAAUGGGACCGCUGGCGCUAAGUCAGAGGAAGGAGAGGUCAACGGUAGGUCCGUAUGCCCCGAAUCCCCUGGGCAACACGCGCGCUACAAAGGAUGGGACAAUGGGCUUCGACACCGAAAGGUGAAGACAAUCCUCAAACCCAUCCAUAGUUCGGAUUGGGGGCUGUAACCCGCCCCCAUGAAGCUGGAUUCCGUAGUAAUCGCUUGUCAACAUCAAGCGGUGAAUAUGCCCCUGCUCCUUGCACACACCGCCCGU